ensembl:lncRNA LINC00629 long intergenic non-protein coding RNA 629
GGAGCUGUAGGGAAGGGGGUUGUGCAGGCGCUCGACGCCGCAGCCUUGGCCCGCUGCGGGGGAGGGCCGAGAAGGGCACUGGGCGCCCAGAGUAACCAACACCGAGACGAAUAGCGAGGGCUCGGGGAGAAAAAACGGAGGAUGGCAAACGGCAAAGCCAAGGGCACGAGAAACCUGUUUAUGCACCCUCCUGCAAUCCCACCACCUGCCCAGGCCAAGUGAGCCCCUCUCCGCUACUGGUGUUUCAUAAUGCUGGGAGCUACUUUGAUUUCAUGCAUUGCCCUUCAGCUGCCAUGUUAUGAGGACACUUGGAGAAAGCUACAGGAGAGGAACUGAGGUCUCCUGCCAUCAGCCACUUGAGUGAGCAUGGGAGUGGAUUCUCCAAACUCCAGUUAAGACUUGAGAUGUCCACAGUGGCAGCCACUAGCUUGACUGCAACUUACGAGAGACCCUGAGCCAGAGGCACUCAGUUAAGUCAUACACAGUUUCCUGACCCGUAAAACCUGUGACACAAUGAAGGUUUGUUGUUUUGGGGGUAAUCCGUUAUUCAGCAAUAGAUAACGAAUACAGAAGGCUUGUAAUUGUAUAACCAACGUGAGUUUAUAAGCGGAUAUCUGACCUCAUUUGUUUUCUCCUGAAAAAGUUAUAGAAAAAUCACAAGACUGCAAGUCACUCUCUCUCUUUCUUUUGUGGGGAAUAAACAAGUAUAAUUACAAUUUCUAAACCUAUUGUUUUAUUCUCAAAUAUAAUUACAAUUUAAACAGGAUAUUGUAGAGCUCCAUCAUAGGGAUUAACACUAAUUAGAAUUAAAGAACGUUUUUGUGAAAGUCAGCUUUUUUUUUUUAAAUAAACACUCGUCCCUUGAUAAUGUAUUUCUUUUUCAUAAAAUUAAAAAAAAAAUGUGGGUUGUAGUAGGUGUAUAUAUUUAUGUGGUACAUGAGAUGUUUUGAUACAGGCAUGACGUGUAAUAAUCACAUCAUGGAAGAUGGCGUAUCCAUCCCCUCAAGCAUUUAUCCUUUGUGUUACAAACAAUCCAGUUACACUCUUUUUGUUAUUUAAAAAUGUACAAUUAAAUUAUUAUUGGCUAUAGUCACCCUGUUGUGCUAUCAAAUAUUAGGUCUUAUUCAUUCAUUUAACUAUUUUUUUGUACCUAUUUAUCAUCCCCAUCCCCGGUUCCCUCCCACCACCCACCCCACUACCCUUCCCGGCCUCUGGUAACCAUCCUUCUACUCUCUAGCUCCAUGAGCUCCAUUGUUUUGAUUUUUAGCUCCCACAAAUAAAUGAGAACAUGUAAUGUU